UGCGCAGGCGGACUAAUAAGUCAGAGGUGAAAGCCCACAGCUUAACUGUGGAACUGCCUUUGAUACUGUUAGUCUUGAGUGCAGUUGAGGUAGGCGGAAUGUGUUAUGUAGCGGUGAAAUGCUUAGAUAUGACACAGAACACCAAUCGUGAAGACAGCUUACCAAGCUGCUACUGGCGCUCAGGCACGAAAGCGUGGGGAGCGAACAGGAUUAGAUACCCUGGUAGUCC
rnacentral:rRNA from 1 species